rnacentral:lncRNA from 1 species
ACCAAAGAAAUUUCAGUAGCCAGCCUUAUUAUAGGUUAUUAUCACUAAGAUAUGUAUUGUAUCAGAAAAACACAAUACUGUCUGUGAAUGUAGUCCUCUGUUAGUAAAGAGCCAGGAAAGAUACUUUAUCUCAAAUGGAGUCACCUCUAGCUGAGGAAGCCUGUUGCCUUCUGUUAGGCACAACAGAGUGUUAAAAAUUGACUUUCUGAAGUGCUUAUUUUAUUUUCAAACUUUGUCAAGAAAUUGUUUCCUUCUGUCACCAAGGAGCUCUGUCCGAGCUUAACCCUUGCUAGAGAGUGAGGGACAUGAACCAGCAUUUUGUCGUGUGGAACAUGUUAGGAAUACAGAACUAUGAACCUGCUGCAGAAUAAAUGAAAUCAGAGAUACGUUUUUACUUGAUCUCUGUGCCCACUCAAGUUUGAGAAACAUCAAAGAAAAUAGCUCUUCCAUCACUUUUUUAUAUUAUCAUAGGUUUUCUUCUUUUAGUGGAAGGGAGGAAGCAGUGCAAAUAAGUUUUAUGUGUGCUUACUUUUGUGUUUGAAACAGAAAAAUAGAGUCAUUUUUAGUGCAAACCUCUUUUCCCCACAUGGGAACCUUCUGAAGUCAUAUGAUGUUGUUAAUUGCCUCCACUACGAAAGGAUGUUUCUAGCCAUACUAGUGUCUAGAAUCUAGUCCAAUGGCCAUGACACUGUCCACCCCCCAUCCUCUCCUUGAGAGCAAGCUAAUUAUCAGAAAAAAAAAAACCUGAUUAUGUGUCAGGAGGAAGAGGAAAGGAUGGAUUUGUAAACAAAGUGGCAUAACAAAGGCAGUAGCUAUGCAGCAUGACAGGUUACCAGCAUCCACACUCUGCCAAGCACUAUGCUUGUUGCUGGGAAUGUAAGAUCAAUCAUGAUGGUACUCUGUCACCAAAGGAACUGGCAGCCUAAUAGGAGUCAAAUGGAAUAAAAUGGCCCUUGCAAGCACUGGAAUCACAUGAUCUGCCAUCAAAUCCCUGCCAUCUUCUUCCUAGCUCUGUAUCAUUAACAAAUUACUGAGCCACUCAGCCUCAGUUUUGUCAGUGCAAAGUCAGUUUAAUAGCAAUGUCUUUCUUUCAAAGUGGUUGUGAGGAUAAAGUAAAAUAAUUAACCUGAAGUAGUUGCUACACUUCGUGACACCUAAUAAACAUUCGGCACAAGUAAGUAAAAGCAAGUAUAAUUUAAGAAACACUGUGGUAGAAGUACACAGAAAUUUUCUGGGAAUCACAGACAAAGGAGGCCUGCCUGGCUUAGAGAGGGAAAGUAGGGAAGAGCUUGCCAGAAGAUGUAACCUUUGGGGUGAAUUUUGAAAGAUGACUAGUCAAGUUUGCCAGCAGAGAAAAGAUAAGAGAUUCCAAGCAGAGGACAUUUCAAGUACCCGAGUCAAAUCCAGCACUGUGGAGGUUUUUAUCUGUGAAAUAGCAGGCAGUGUGGAGGGACUGGGGUGCAGAAAGACAGGAUAUAAUAAGAAUGACUCAGAGAGGUUAGCUGAGGCCAUGUCACGGAUUAUAUGUUUAAUUCUGGAGAAGUUGAACUGUGCUAAGACAAGAGAGGGCCUUUGACAGUUUAAAGCAAAGUCACAUGAUAUGGAGAAGUGAGAUGGAAGACAAGGAAUCUGUUAGAGAUUUAUUCCUCCCUGUCAUAGUUCUCUUAAAUGUCAAACUCAAAUUUCUAGCUGCUUACUAUGUCCAGAUUCCAUCAUGCUCAAAAUCAAUCCUGUCCCCUAUCCUGAAAAAUAGCACAGCCAUUCACUGAGUUCUUCAAGCUGAAAAUUAGUAAUUGUCUUUGAAUCCUUACCUUCUAGUAGCUCCUUCUUCCCUCACCUCCCUGGCCUUUCCCCCCCUCCCCCUUUCCACCCACCCUGUAGACCAACUGUUGCUCUCUGCUUCCAAAAUUCUGAACCUGACCUUUCUUCUCACUCACUACUGCCAUAGCCCUAACAGAACCCUCAUCUCCAUCCCCCUCACUUCCUCUUAAAAAAAAAAUAUCUGCUUGUAACAAAUCAAGGCUUCAUCCAGCUCCACUUGCCUUGGGGUCAGUAUCCACAUGCCCUUAUCUAGCAGAUUACACACUUCUUCCACAUUUCUAAUUCUGCUUCUAAAUUCUACUAAAAGGUGGUAUCAUCAUUUCAUUUUGACUUAAGAAAUUAACCUCUGUUGUGGAAACAACUAGUGACUGACCAAACACAUUUAAUUUUAUUGAGUGGAAUUGCAGAGAUUUCUUGUGGGAAAUUAACUCAGAAGAUUUCUUUCCAGUUGCAUCACCACCAGCUCCUUUGUAAUUAUGUGAACCAGCUGGAUAAAAGAAUAAAUUGCUUCUUCAAAUGUACUGGUGUCAUUUAACUAGGAGCUGCUUUCGUUGUAUUGAGUCAAAUAGCAAAGGUUAAAUGGGUACACAUUGGGGCCACUUUUAGCUAUCCUAUCCCAUUUUCAUUUCUCAGACUUUGGUUGCAGUUUUUACAUUUGGAAAGAGAUUUCAAAAAUACAGUGACAAAACGCUGCAGUUAUCUCUUGUUGUUAUAGAUGGCUGAUAUGGUAAAGCAUACCUGGCUCACUUCCUAGAUCAGUGCCUGUGGUCCUCAGCUUAACAAUAAAACAAUUUCAAAUUAAUAUAGCUUUUUUACUGAGCCAGUAGACAGUGGUCUUCUUAGCUGGGCUAUCUGAUAGCUUAUGAGUAUUCCAUUUAAGAAAAUGUACUAUAAAUGUGGAAAUGGAAUAGAUAAGUCAUUUCAGGGCAAACAGUAUAUCUACUUUUUAAAAGAACUCAAAUUAAGAUAUUUUUAUAGUUGUUUCAAAAAUAUCUAUUUAAUGUAAAUGUUACUGUUCUCCUUCAGAAAAUUCUAUGAGAGCUUAGUAACUACAAAUACCCAACUGAAAGACAACAGAACACUUUAAAUUUGGGGACAAUUUAUAAUUUCUUAUUCUUCCUUUUCUCUGUUAUGAUUCUGUUCUUUGUUUUAUCUAUUGUUAGAUUUAACACUUUCUUAAUUUUCCUUGUUUUAAUGUGUUCUGAAGGAAGUGACUCUCAGGUUUCUAUUAUAAAGUAUAUAAUACUUAUAUACUUUACUGUAAGUACAUAAAUGAGGGAAAAUCAAUUAUACAUUUGUAAAAAUAUCAAAGGCCUGGUGUUUAGAUAUUCAUGUUGUUUAUGUAUCAUAAUGAAAAUUAAAUCUAGCAAAUGAUAAAAUAAUAUAAAUAGGGAAAUUGCACAUUUAAAAUCUGCAUUUGUAUGGCAAAUCUAUUUUUUAUGUGAUUUUAAACUCCUGAAGAUUACAGUGAGAAGAGUUUAAUGAGAAACUGUUCAAAAGUGGAGCAGAGGU